CCAUGCCGUAGGGUAGGGUGAGCCUAGGUCUGUCUAGUGGCUCACACAUGUAUCGAUAUAUGAGUUUGGGGAAGUUGAUUGGGGUGUCAUGAAGCAUAUAGAACAUGAGAGCUAGGUCUCUCUCAGAUACAAAGUCAAAUCUCCCGGUCUUAGGGAAGAUGGACCUAGACAAUAUACUCAAGAGGAUCCGCAUCUCAAU
rnacentral:lncRNA from 1 species